ACCUGGCUGGCUCAAUCAUUGGAGCAUGGGACUCUUGAUCUUGCGAUUAUGAGUUCAAACCCCAUGUUGGGUG
rnacentral:tRNA from 1 species